GACGAACGCUGGCGGCGUGCUUAACACAUGCAAGUCGAACGGAAAGGCCCUGCUUUUGUGGGGUGCUCGAGUGGCGAACGGGUGAGUAACACGUGAGUAACCUGCCCUUGACUUUGGGAUAACUUCAGGAAACUGGGGCUAAUACCGGAUAGGAGCUCCUGCUGCAUGGUGGGGGUUGGAAAGUUUCGGCGGUUGGGGAUGGACUCGCGGCUUAUCAGCUUGUUGGUGGGGUAGUGGCUUACCAAGGCUUUGACGGGUAGCCGGCCUGAGAGGGUGACCGGCCAAAUUGGGACUGAGAUCCGGCCCAGCCUCCAACGGGAGGCAGCAGUGGGGAAUAUUGCACAAUGGGCGGAAGCCUGAUGCAGCAACGCCGCGUGCGGGAUGACGGCCUUCGGGUUGUAAACCGCUUUCGCCUGUGACGAAGCGUGAGUGACGGUAAUGGGUAAAGAAGCACCGGCUAACUACGUG
rnacentral:rRNA from 1 species